CAGGUGGCUCAGUGGUAAAGAAUCUGCCUGCCAACACAGGAGGCACAGGUUCAAUCCCUGAUCUGGGAUGAUCACACAUGCCAUGGUGUAAGCCUGUGCACCACUCCACAACUACUUAGGCUGUGCUCUAGAGCCCAGGAGCUGCAACUUCUGAGCCCUCAGGCCGCAACUACUAAAGCCCGAGAGCCCUAGAGCCUGUGCUCUGUAAUAAGAGAAGUCACCUGAACGAGAAGCCCAAGCACUGCAACUAGAGACUAGCCUUCACUUCCCACAACUAGAGAAGUCUUCACAGCACUGAAGACCCAGCACAACCAAUAAAUAAAUGAAUAUUUUUUAAAAAUAGAAAUGAAAGGAUUUAAAAAAGCUCAUCCUUAAUAGUAUGGAGUGGGGUGGGGUUAGUCACACACACACACACACACACACACACACACACAGACACACACACACAGUGUGAAUGUGGACAGUGCUCUAACUCUGUGCAGAAGGGAGUGGAGGAAGAGGCACUCCUAUCCAGCCUGUCACCUGUAUGUUCUUAGGAUGACAUCUGUGGAGGCGCCCAGUACGCUGUGAGGGCCAGCACAGUGUGGAAAGAGACUGUGGCAGGAUCCUCUGCAAGAGGACCGAGGUAUCCUGUAUUGACUGCUGUCACUCAGAUCCCACCACAUCGCUGGCUGGGGGCUUGGGGUCGUUAGAUGCACAGGAUGAUAAUACCAGAAAGAUUCCGGAACGAACUCUACUCGAACUUUGAGUUUCAGCUCCGGGGAGUUUGUCUGACAUGCAGUCACACACGUGGACACACACAUAUAUCCUGGCACACGGUAUGCACAGGCACCCAGGGAUCCCAGGGACAAUUAUAAUGAUAUAUUAUUAAAGGCCUUACAUAAACUCGAUGACUGAAUGGGACGAUCGGGAGAUGCAAGAAACCUAAGUGAACGGAAAGGGAGCUCGUCUAGCCUGAGGCUUUCCUGCCUCCGAGAGACUGAGGAUGUCAUCUGGAACUGGGUUCCUUUGCCAACAGAACCUACAUUUGUGAAUCUGCACAGAAGGGCUCAGAAGACUGGAGCUGGUAAACUUUUCAGGGUGGUGAUUCCAGCAGGAAGGCAAUGCUAG
rnacentral:lncRNA from 1 species